GGCCGAUUCGUCUAGUGGUUUAGGACUCCAGAUUCUGAUUCUGAUUCAUCAUCAACGUCGAGAUUCUGGCGGCCUCGGUUCGAACCCGAGAUCGGCCU